rnacentral:lncRNA from 1 species
CAAGAUGGUCGAACGAAUCCAAGGCAAAGGCUUCAUAAAUGAGGUGGGUAUUCUAUCUCAAAUAAAUCAUCGUCAUGUGAUACAACUCUUGGGUUGCUGUUUGGAAACACAAGUGCCUUUACUAGUUUACGAGUUCAUCAACAAUGGCACCCUCUCUGACCACAUACAUGAUGAAAAUAAGGCAUCUGCUAUUAUGUGGGAAACUCGCUUAAGGAUUGCCAUCCAAACCGCGGAAGCACUCUAUUAUUUACAUUGUGUAGCAUCUACGCCUAUCGUUCAUAGAGAUGUUAAGUCUUCAAAUAUACUCUUAGAUGAGGAGUACAAUGCAAAGAUGUGUGACUUUGGAGCUUCAAGAUUGGUUCCAUUGGAUCAAAAUCAGUUAUCUACAGCUGUUCAGGGAACUCCUGGAUACUUAGACCCUGAGUCUUUGCAGACAAACCGAGUGACUGAGAAAAGCGAUGUUUAUAGUUUUGGAGUGGUCCUUGUAGAGCUACUCACAGGAAAGAAAGCACUGUUUUUUGAUAGACCCAAGGAGCAGAGAAUUCUAACUAUAUUUUUCCUCUUUCCCCUGAAAGAUGACAGCUUAUUUCAGGUUCUUGAGGAUUGUAUAGUGAACAAUGGAAACCAUAAGCAGAUUUUGAAAGUUGCUCAGCUUGCGCAAAGGUGCCUAAGCAUAAACGGGGAGGACAGACCCACAAUGAAGGAAGUAAUGUUGGAACUAGAGAUGAUAAGAAUGAUUGGGGAAAAUGCUGAACAGAAUCCAGAAGAAAAUACAUACUUGCUUGGAGAAUCAUAUGCUCACUACUAUUUGGGUGGUGGUGAAUCAUCCAUUGCUACACAUAGCAUGACGGGCAGUUUCUUGUUACCAGUAAGUGAUGCAAGAUAACAGUUUUCUGUGUGAUGGGACAAAUAAAGAAAAGUAGAGAAAGAUGGUGUACUGUUUUCUGUGUCCUGAUUAGUUAAAUAAGAUUGUGGGAAUAUUUGACUGUAUAUCUAUGGUUGUCUUAGUAAGUAAAACUUUAUCUCUGUUUUCUUUGUUAUUAGUCAGUGAAGUGUAAUACUUUUCACUAUUCCUUCAUACUGUAGUUGUGGCUCUAUAUAUAUAUUUCAUUAUUAAUCAAAGCAUUGAUCCACUAUAAUUAAAUAUGAGGGCAAGAGGUCUUCUUCAAGCUCAUAUAUUUUUAUUUAGUUUUCUUCAAUUUAAAAGGCCUUUCCAGUGUUUUUUCAUUAAUUUUAUGGUGAGCUUUUUUGCAUCUAAUAUGAAUAAGUGAGUAAAUUUGUUGUCUAAGGAGGAGUAUAUAGGACUCACUCCUUGAGAAUUUAAUGAACAUCUCUAUUUAGUUUUAAAUGUCAAACACUAGCUUUCAACCUUAGCCUUUAAUUUGUUCUCGGCCAUUUUGUAUGAUUCAAUACAGUAUAGCCUUAUAGCGUGUUCAAAUCGCUGGGCUGAUUGUUUUUGCAUUCCCCCUCCAUCCUACAAUGUCCAAAUACAUAAAAAUACCUUGGCCGCAAAUAGGAAAUCAAUGGAAGCCACAGCGCCUUGCAUAAGACUUUCUUUUGGCAGCUUAUAAUGUAUGGCAAUAAAAGAUAGAGGUACAGUAGGACAAGCCAUGCUCAUGAACAGCUAAUCAAUCAUUUGUCUCACUGAAAUGGUGAAGUCUUCAAACAAGGCAUCUGUCUUCAAAUCAUGAAUGCCAGUUAUCAGUAACCGUGGAUUGACCUGGUCAUGUGGUGGAUAUUUCAGUCAAGGACAAUAGGAUGAUUAAUGUACUCUGGGGACUCUGUUCCUGACCAUUUUGUAUCAUUCAGUGUCUUAUAGACUGUCUCUCUUCACACCUCCAAUGCCCUAGAAGGUCCAGACGCAUAAAAGUAGCUUGGGGGCGUAAAGAUGAAGAAGGGCAAGCCAUAGCCUUGCAUUACUUAAAAUGUACAGUGGGACAAUCCAUGCAUGCCCACUUCACUCAUAAUAUUUGCAUAAAUCAAAUAUUGAAGUCUUCAAACACGCCUUGGUCUUCAACGGUCCGACCUUGCUCCACGUUCAUUAAUACGAAUCCAAUUGACCAGGUAAACGCUUUUGGAAUCAAAUGUUGGUCUUAUCGGAGCUUACUUAAUGAGCAUUAGCCGUUGAUUUCAAUUUUAUUGUAUGAAUGUAAGAUCAGGAUUUCACUGUGUCUUGUGGAAUUGAUGAAGCUAGUCCUAAUGUUGGAUUGGAAACUUAACCUAUAGCCUUAAGCCUCAUUCUAAGGCCAAUAAUUUCACUAUUAUAAUAAUUUUUAUUAAUAAAAAUAAGUGAAGUUUUUAUUAAUUACUCUAAAGCUUUAAAUUUAAUUACCCUUUUGGGUGAUUCAAUGCUUUUUCUUAUUUAUAAUUUUGGAUAAUUUAUUAACUUAUUAAUUAUUCUAAAACUUUUUUUUUAUAUAUACUUUUUACUAUUACUAUGGACCCACAUUUUUAAAUAUGUCCCCACUCAAUGGCAAGAUUCGUUUUUUAUUUAUGAACAAACAAAUCUCAAAAAAGUUCUAGUAGCUACUUAUUUAAUUUUUUUCAAACAUUAAAUUAUAUUUUAUAAAGUGUAAUUAUAAUAAAUUGAGUUAAAAAAAUAUUUGAAAUGAUGAUAUGUAAAAAAAUUCUCCAUAAUCAUAAAAAAAUAAUAAUUUAUAUGUGAGUUUCAACAUGAUAAACUCAAAAAAAAAAAAAUUCUAGAAUAUUAAACUAUUGAUAUUCUAUGAAAUUGAUUUGUGGAGUUAUUAUAAUAAAAAUUAAAAGUUUACAGAUCGUAUAAGAAAAUAAAAACGUAUUUGAAGUGCGAAACCAAGAUAAGAACAUCACUCACUUGCAUCAUAUUGGUUCCACUACUAGCAUAUCUAAAAAUGAAAAACACUAAAAAAAAAAAAACAUAGAAAUGUAUAAUUCCCAAAUCCCUUAUGGUCAAUGUAAUCUAAAAAUCAAGACUAUUAUAUUCUAUAUAGUUUGUAAUGCAAGGUAAAAUACGAACAAAAGUAUCGAUGUUUUGACUCCUUUGCACGUGGGAAUUAAGCUAUUAUUAAAAUAAAAGUUUUUUUUUUCUUUUCUUUUAUUCAUUUUGAAGUUUUCUUUCAGUUUAUUUUCUUGGGAUUAAAAAAUGGGUAGCAUCAAAUGAUCUUUCUUCACAUUGACUCGCUGCCAACGACCCAUGAGUCGACACCAUGAAUGAACUUGUACCUUGCCAACUCAGAACUAUUAAUGAUCUUAAAGUCCCAAGCUAACUUUAAACUGUCUCCAACGUGAAAGACUUUAGUCUUUCCUAUGGAAUGACUUGGCCUCCUGAGAAAAAAAUUAUUUUCAUGGUAAAUUAUACGAUAUCAUACCAAAUUUUAAUAUUAGAUUUUUUUUUUUAUAAUUUGUAUGAUUAAAUUUAGAUUAUUGUAUAAACAUAUUAAAAGUGAUAUGAAGUUCCAAAAAAUAAAAAUAAAGUAAUAAAUAAAUAAUCUCUAGUUGUGCCUCAUAAUAUGGCUAGGGAAAUAAAUCACCUCAAAUCAAAUCAAAGUAAAGUAGUUUUUGAAUGAUGAAAGAAAGACAAAUAUGGUUUUUAAGAUUUACAUGAAGCCUAAAAACCUUGUAAAAUAAAGUUCAAUCAUUCCUCAGAGACACACACAAAGAUGGAAAACAUGAUUUUUCAACUUGAAUUAAGUUUAUAAAGUGACUUGAGUAAAGGUAUGACUUAAGAGAAGUAUAUGGUUUUUAUAGACAAAUAGUCUAAAAACUGAAUUAAAUAAAGCCACCAAAAAUUAUGAUGAGAGCAAUAUCAUUGGUGGAGGAGGUUUUGGCACAGUUUAUAAAGGAACUUUAACCGAUGGUAGGAUUGUUGCAAUCAUGGAUUGAAAAAUCGGAAAAUGUCGCCGAUAUUUCGUCGAAAUAUCGGUUAUCGGGCGGCAUGGAAACGAUAAACGGCACCGAUUAUCGAUCGACGGAAAAAUCGGCCAAAAAUCGACAAAAUCGCCGAUAUAUCGGCGAAAUAUCGGUGAAGCACCGAAAAAUCGGAGAAAAAUCGCGAUAUUUCCUACCAGUCCAGCCCGCGCAGUUGUGUUUUUCAGCCUGGCUCAAAAAUCGUGGAUUUAGGGUUCGUGAAAUUUAAAUCCAAUGGCACAACAGCAAAGAGACCCCUAAAACAGAUCCAGAAAACACAGGGAGCAAAAGAAAAGCAAUUUUUUUGGUUUUCUUUGGGAGUUUUGAAUGGAUUUUCUCGGAAAUCAAACGAGGAUGAAUUUUCCCGGAAAUCGAAUGGGGAUGGAUUUUCUUGGGAAUCAAACGGGGGUUGCAAAAAAAAAAUUAAUAAUAACAUGAUUAGAUUAGUACCUGCGAGGAUUGAGAUUUGAGAGUAGCAGAGGAAAAUAGGGCUUUUUAGGGAUUCUCUCGCUGGAAGACACCUUCAGAAAAGGGUUCUUGAUGCCCGAGAGAGAAGUGGGUGCCUUUUUUAUUUUUUUUUUAUUUUUAGAUUUAGGGGAGAUAAAAAAAUAAAAAAUAAAAAAUAAAAAAAACAUGAGAACAAUUUUCUAUAAAUAAUUAUUAAUUUUCAACUUUUAUUUGGAUUAUUAAAUAAAUUUAUAUUAAUAAAAAAAGUUGUUAUCACAUUUUUUAAUAAAUUUUAAAAAUUAAAUCUCAAAUAAGAUAUUUUAUAUAAAUUAAUUUAAUUUAUCAUUUAAAAUAUAAUAAAAUAUGUAAAAAAAUCAUGAGAACAAUUUUCCACUCUCUAUAUAAAUAAUUAUUAAUUAUCAACCUUUAUUUUUAUUAUUAAAUAAAUUAAUAUUAAUAGAAAAAGUUAUUAUCACAUAUUUUUAAUAAAAUUUUAAAAAUUAAAUCUCAAAUAAGAUAUUUUAUAUAAAUUAAUUUAAUUUUUCAUUUAAAAUAUAAUAAAAUAUGUUUUAAUAAAAAUAUUUUAAAAAUUUUAAAAUAAAUACUGUCUUCAACAAGAUGAACUCCCUUCAUCUAAUAAUAUAUUGAAACUACAUCGAUAUCUUUCUUAGUAUAAGGACUAUUGCAAUCUCAUAUUUCUUAACUCAAUUUUAACUUUAUACACUUUCAAAAUUCAUAUAUAUUAUUUUUAAAAUUCAAAUAUCGAAUCUACCAAUAUAUCUCUAUUUACGAUAUUUUUCUUCUUAAUUAUAUAUAUAUCAAUUACACUUACAAGAUAACUUUAAAAUGUGUAUUCUUACUUAUGUUAUCAUUUUUUGAAGUUUUUUCAAGCAUUCCUAUUAAUUUUAAAUAAUUUUCACUCCAUCGAUAUUUAUGAAAAAAUAUCCACCGAUAUUUCUCCGAUAUUUCCGAUAUAUCCGUAAAAUUGAAGUACCGAUAUAUCCGUAAAAACCGAUAUUUCAAUCCUUGGUUGCAAUUAAGAAGUCCAAGAUGGUCGAACGAAUCCAAGGUAAAGACUUCAUAAAUGAGGUGGGUAUUCUAUCUCAAAUAAAUCAUCGUCAUGUGAUACAACUCUUGGGUUGCUGUUUGGAAACACGAGUGCCUUUACUAGUUUACGAGCUCAUUAACAAUGGCACCCUCUCCGACCACAUACAUGAUGAAAAUAAGGCAUCUGCUAUUAUGUGGGAAACUCGCUUAAGGAUUGCCAUCCAAACCGCGGAAGCACUCUAUUAUUUACAUUCUGUAGCAUCUUCGCCUAUCGUUCAUAGAGAUGUUAAGUCUACGAAUAUACUCUUAGAUGAGGAGUACAAUGCAAAGAUGUGUGACUUUGGAGCUUCAAGAUUGGUUCCAUUGGAUCAAAAUCAGUUAUCUACAGCUGUUCAGGGAACUCCUGGAUACUUGGACCCUGAGUCUUUGCAGACAUACCGAGUGACUGAGAAAAGUGAUGUUUAUAGUUUUGGAGUGGUCCUUGUAGAGCUACUCACAGGCAAGAAAGCACUGUUUUUUGAUAGACCCAAGGAGCAGAGAAUUCUAACUAUGUUUUUCCUCUUUGCCCUGAAAGAUGACAGCUUAUUUCAGGUUCUUGAGGAUUGUAUAGUGAACAAUGGAAACCAUAUGCAGAUUUUGAAAGUUGCUCAGCUUGCGAAAAGGUGCCUAAGCAUAAAAGGGGAGGACAGACCCACAAUGAAGGAAGUACUGUUGGAACUAGAGAUGAUAAGAAUGAUUGGGGAAAAUGCUGAACAGAAUCCAGAAGAAAAUACAUACUUGCUUGGAGAAUCAUAUGCUCACUACCAUUUGGGUGGUGGUGAAUCAUCCAUUGCUACACAUAGCAUGGCGAGCAGUUUCUUGUUACCAGUAAGUGAUGCAAGAUAACAGUUUUCUGUGUGAUGGGAAAAAUAAAGAAAAGUAGAGAAAGAUGGUGUACUGUUUGCUGUGUCCUGUUUAGUUAAAUAAGAUAGAAUAUAAAGAAAAAUAAAGUUCUGGGAAUAUUUUAUUGUAUAUCUAUGGUUGUCUUAGUAAGUAAAACUCAAUUUUAUGUAAGUUUUUAUCUCUGUUUUCUUUGUUAUUAGUCAGUUAAGUGUAAUACUUCAUACUGUAGUUGUGGCUAUAUAUAUAUUUCAUUAUUAAUCAAAGCAUUGAUCCACUAUGAUUAAAUAAGAGGGCAAGAGGUCUUCUUCAAGCUCAUAUAUUUGUAAUUAGUUUUCUUCAAUUUAAAUGGCCUUUCGAAUGUCUUUUCAUCAUUAUUAUUUUUUUUGUUUCUAGUAUGAAUAAGUGAGUAAAUUAAUUGUUGUCUAAGGAGUACAUAGGACUCACUCCUUGAGCAUUUAAUAAGCAUCUCGAUUUUGUUUUAAAUGUCAAACACUAGCUUUCAACCUUAGCCUUAAUUUGUUCUUGGCCAUUUUGUAUGAUUCAAUACAGUAUAGCCUUAUAGCGUGUUCAAAUCGCUGGGCUGAUUGUCCUUGCAUUCCCCUCCAUCCUACAAUGUCCAAACACAUAAAAAUACCUUGGCCGCAAUUAGGAAAUCAAUGGAAGCCACAGCGCCUUGCAUAAGACAAGCCAUGCUCAUGAUCAGCUAAUCGAUAAUUUGUUUCACUGAAAUGGUGAAGUCUUCAAACAAGGCAUCUGUCUCCAAAUAAUGAAUGAGAAUUGUCAGUAACAGUGGAUUGACCUGGUCAUGUGGUGGACAUUUCACUCAAGGACAAUAGGAUGAUUAAUGUACUCUGGGGACUUUGUUCCUGACCAUUUUGUAUCAAUGUUCAGUGUCUUAUAGAUUCUCUCUUCACACCUCCAAUGCCCUAGAAGCUCCAAACGCAUAGAAGUAGCUUGGGGGCGUGAAGAUGAAGAAGGGCAGCCAUAGCCUUGCAUUAAUUAAAAGGUACAGUGGGACAAGACAUGCAUGCCUACUUCAGUCAUAAUAUUUGCUUAAAUCAAAUAUUGAAGUCUUCAAACAAGUCUUGGUCUUCAACGGUCCGACCUUGCUCCACGUUCAUUAAUACGAAUCCAAUUGACCCAAUAAACGCUUUUGGAAUCAAAUGUUGGUCUUAUUGGAGCUUACUUGAUAAGCAUUAGCCGUUGAUUUCAAUUUUAUUGUUAGAAUGUAAGAUCAGGAUUUCAUUGUGUCUUGUGGAAUUAAUUAAGCUAGUCCUCAUGUUGGAUUGGAAAUUUAACCUAUAGGCUUAGCCUCAUUCUGAGGCCAAUAAUUUCACAAUUAUAAUAAUAUUUAUUAAUAAAAAUAAGUGAAGCUUUAUUAAUUACUCUAAAGCUUUAAUUGCCCUUUUGGGUAAUCCAGUGCUAUUUCUUAUUUAUAAUUUUAGAUAAUUUAUUAACUUAUUAAUUAUUCUACGACUUCCUUUUUUUUUUUUAAUAUUACUAUGAACCCACAUUUUUAAGUAUAUCAUCACUUGAUGGUGAGACUCGUUUUUUAUUUAUGAAAAAAUAGAUUUUUAAAAAAAUUGUAGUAGCUACUUAUUUUUGUUUAUUUUUAAAGGAAAAAAAACUAAGAAAUAAAACCCUAAAAUGACUUCUUUUUUGAAUGAAAAACAAAGUUUGUGAAAAGUGAGUCUAGAUCCGAGGGUCAUAUUAUUUAUUGAGAAGAUACCAUAAGAUAACAACCCUCUAAGUCCCAAAGAGGUUUCUACUAAACAAGUGGAGGGAACUAAGAUAAUUGAUCAAUAAACUAUGGAUACCAAAAAGCAAAUACGAAAAUACAAGAAGACAUGAUAAUUAUAAACAAGCAACUGGUGAUGAAUAUACGAGUUAUGUAUAUCUAAAAGCCAAAUUAAGGAUCAAAACCAAACUCAAGAGUACAACAUGCAUGUUAAAUAAACCAACCAAUCAAAGGUGGAAAGAAGCGUACAUCAAUAUUGCCCAAAACAAGGGCAACGAACGAGCCAAGAAUCUCCUCUCAAGUGAAAAACUUGGUUUCUAGUAUCGUAAAGCCUCAUCUUUAAGCCAUGUCUUCUUGAUAUCCCAAUGUUUCUCUUCAUUUUCCACUCCCAACAUUUGGAUAGAGUUUUCCUUCAAAAUGCAAGAGAGAAGUCAUUUGAAAAUGAACCCCAAAAACCUUAUUUAUAACCCAAGGGAGGGUGGAGAUUUUGACAUAUGUCAUCAUCUCCACCAAGGCUCUCCUUCUUCAAAACUAAAACCAAAUUAAAGGGAGGCCCUUAAUGCAGGUUUAGGCCCACAAAGAACAUCUAAAACUAGUCCUAGAAAAUAUGAAAAAGGAAAUGGCCUAAAACAAAAGUAAGAAAUGGGCUUAGGACAAUUUUUAGGGUUUAUAAAUAUGUCCAUCUUUGGUAGAGUUCACAAGUAUAAGGAAUGUGAACAUUGGAGUAAAAUUAAAGUGUGAAUAAUGAGUAAAAUGAAGUAAAUUAUACCGAAGAACAAGAAAGACCACCAAAAUUGGCAUAACACAACUUACGCUUGCUUAAACCAAAACAAACCAAGGAAAGAAGACUCCUAGGGUGCCACUAAAGUUACACUGCAGGUUUGAGACUCCCUACAAAAGACCUUUAAAAGUGAUUUGAACAUUAGUGUCAAAGUUGAGUAGUAGUUUAACCACCAAGGAAUACAAGAACAAAAAUGAAAAAAAAAAAAUGUCUACACAUGUACUAUGUGAAGACACAAAGUGAGGGGCAUCAAACAAUGCAAUCAAACUUGCACUAUGAGCUCAAAGGGUUGCAUCGCAUGCAAUGGAGGAAAAGAAUCUUAGAAAUAGUAUGAUGAAAAGGUGAAUGCAAAUGUGAUGAACAGCUCCAACUAGGGAUGAAUGAAUGGACAACUUAGGGUCGUUGAUGCAAUAAACAACUCUAGGCUAUAUGAAUAGAUCGGGGCUAUGAAUGAGAUGAGCAAAUUAAGGAUUAUGAACUUUAGGCUCUGAAAUGGGCUAAAGGGAUGUUUCAGUUUGCGACAUUGAGUUGUCACUAAAAGGUGACUAAAAUGAUGAAAAACUUGAGGCUAUGAUGCAAUGAACAACUUGAGGUUAUGAUGCAAUGAAAAACUUAGGGUUGUGUUACAAUGAGCAACUUAGGGUUGUGUUAUAAUGAACAACUUGGAGUUAUGAUGCAAUAAACAACUUAGAGUUGUGAGCUCUGGACUUUGAAAGAUUAGUCAAAAAGGAGAUUGUGGUUCAUCAAAUUCAAGUGAAACCACUCAAAGGGUAAUUGAAAUGAUGAAAAGCUCAAGGUUAUAAUGUAAUGAAUAACUCAAGACUACGAUUAAUGAAUAACUCAAGGUUGUGAUGCAAUGAAUAGCUCAGGGUGUUGUGAGCUUUGAGCUCUGAAAGAUUGAUCAAAAUGGAGAUCGUGGUUCGCAACUCCAAGUCAAACCACUCAAGGAUGAUUGAAAUGAUGAAAAGCUCAAGGCUAUGAUGUAAUGAACAACUAAUGGUUUUGUUUGUGAUGGGACAAAUAAAGAAAAAUAGAGAAAAUGAUAUACUAUUUGGUGUGUCCUAGUUAGCCAAAUAGGUGAGAAUGCAUUUGACUACAUCUAUGGUUAUCAUAUUAAGUAAAACUCAAUAUCGUGUUAAGUUUUAAAACAAAAAAAAUAAAAAAUAAAUAAAUACAUUUGACAAGUAGUAAACAAAAAUAGUUUUCUUUACUUAAAGAUAAUUUUCUUUUCUUAAAAACAAAAAAUAGAAAGAUAAUUAUGCAAAUAUGAAGAAUGAUUAAAAAUAAAAUACUAGUAUAAAAGUUAUUUUUGAAACAUAUUUCAAAAUAAAGAAAAUAGGUUAAAAAUAUUUCAUUUUCCGAAAUAGUUUUGUUCUAUAAAACAUUAAAAAAUAGUUUUAAAAAAGUAUUCUCAAAAAUUGUUUUUGAAAAUACUUCCCAAACAAGGCCUUAAUUUAUGUUUUCUUUGUUAUUAAUAAGUGACAUUUAUACCUUUCACUAUUACUUGAUGUUGUAGUUGUCUAUAUAUAUAUGUGUGUGUGCGUGCACACACGUGCGAGCAUCUUAAAAUUAUAUCUCUCUCAAUUUUGUGAACAAGUUUUUAUUGAUGACCUUUCUUGUGUCUUUUUAUUAAUUUUAUGGUGCUUAAUUUUUUGCAUUUAAAUAAGUGAUUAAUUUUUUGUCUAAGGGAGAGUACAUAGGAUUCACUCCUUCAGUUUUAAUUGUCAAACACUAAGUUUCAACCAUAGCCUUUGUUUUAUGGAAGAAAGCUAAUGGAUGUAUUUUGAUUUAUUGGAGGUUUUGGGUCUUUUUGACUCAAAAUAUCUCAAAUAAUGCUCUUACUACUGAGAUUCACAAGAGAAGGAAAUGUAAGGAGCUUAGUGGAAAACUAAUUGGCAAAGUUGUAGUCUUAGUGUACUUUUGGAAUGUAUUAAUUGAGAACUUAUUGAAAAUCAACCAACUAGGAAUACCCUUUGUUUGAUUGAUGAACUAAGGAAAAAAAUUACAAAGAUUUUCUUUAUAUUAGUAAUAAUAGCUCAGUUCACAUCUUGUCUUCUUGAGUUUUAUACACAUAUAUAGGUGUAACUAGAAAUUCUGGAAUUAGUUAUCUCUGCUAACUAAUCACAAAGUUAGUUGAAACUAACUAAACUAAUUAACCACUUGUUUCAACUCACCCCCUCAAGCAAUGUUAUGCCUUGGCAACUAUCAUCUUGUCAUAAAGUAGUUCAAACCAAGUAGUGGUUAAGGGCUUAGUCAAUGGAUCUACAAGUUGUUCUUCCAUUGGCAUGUACCUUACAUCCAACUCUUAUGCAAUUACUUUUUCUCUCACAAAAUGAAUGUCAAUCUCUAUGUGUUUUGUUUUUGCAUGAAACAUAGGAUUUGAAGCUAAAGAUCCUAUUCCAAUGUUAUCACACCACAAUAUAGGACUAUGCAUAGUUUUGACUCCAAGUUCAGCAAAUAAGCUUUGUAGCCAAACUAUUUCAAUAGCAGCUUGAGCUAAAGCUCAAUACUCACUCUUAGUACUUGACCUUGCUACAACCUUUUGCUUUCAAGAACUUCAUUGAAUCAAAUUUCCUCCAAGAAAAAUACAAUAACCACUGGUAAACCACCUAUCAUCAAUGUUACUAGCCCAAUUUGCAUUAGUGGAUCCUUCAAGGACCAAAGCUUUUGUUGGUUGAAAUUUCAAGUCAUAUCCAAUUGUGCCUCUUAGAUGCCUCAAUACUCUUUUGUAGGCAUGUUAUUGUUAAACUGUAGGUACAUGAAGAAUUUGACUAAGUUUGUUUACAACAAAAGAUAUAAUAGGUCAAGUCAUAGUCAGAUAUUGAAGUUUUUCCCAAUUACACUCUGAUAUAGGGAGGGUUGCUCAAAUAAUUUGUUGUCAUUUGUUAGCUUUUUCCAUCAUAGUCUUUUCCAAAAUAUCCAAAAUAUACUUUGUUUGGGUUAAGUAAAGACUAGUUUGAUCUUUAUAUGUCUCAAAUCCUUUCCAAAGUCUUUAAUGCAAAAUUUUCAUUUAAAUCCUUCAUUACUUAUUGAAUCAAAUCAAUAUCAUCACUAAGUUAUCAAAAUGUCAUCUACAUAGACCAACAAGAGUAGUAAUUUGCUUGCAAAUUUAUGUAUGAAAAAACUUAUAUCAAAUUUUGAAUUUUCAAAACCCCAAUCCAAUAAAACAGUUUUAAGCUUGUCAAACCAAGCCCUUGGAGCUUGUUUUAGACCAUAUAGAGCCUUGUGUAGCUUGCAAACAUGGUGUGGAGCAUGUUGAUCAAUAAAACCAAUAGAUUGAGUCAUGUACACAAUUUCUUGUAGGUCUCUUUUUAAAAAUGCAUUGUUGAUAUUAAUUUGCUGAAUAUACCAACCUUUUGUAACAACAAUGGUAAGCACUGACGAAUGGUUGAUGAUUUGAUAAUAGGAAUAAAGGCAUCAAAGUAAUCAAGCCCUGCUAUUUGUAGGAUUAUAUUUUACUCGAAAAAUCCAUUUGUUAUCCAUAGUUUUUAUAUCUUCUAUAUAAGGCACUAAGUUCCAUGUGUUAUUUGACAAAAGGGCAUUAUAUUCAUCAUCCAUUGCCUUUUUCUUGUUUAAAUCCAAUAGAGCUUGUUCCACACUAGUAGGUUCAACAACCAGAGCAUUUAAUUUUUGUUUGGCAAAGAAGAUCUUUGGUUUGAAAAUUCCAAACUUGGAUCUAGUUUGCAUAGGAUGAGUAUUCUGAAUAGAUGAAGAAUUAGAUUUUACAAUUUGAUUCUCAUCAUUAACUUGAUUCUCAUAUUAUAAAAUAUUGGGAUCCUCAAUAGUAUUAGUUUUAGCAAGUUGUAACGCUCUAUUUUCAAUAGAUGCACUAGCCAAAGAUGAUUAUGAAACUAUUGUUUUAGAUAAAAUAACUAUAAUAGAAGUCAAAGAAUCAUUUGGUGAAGGAACAUGCCAUAUACUAAAGAUAGUGGAUCCAUUUAUGGUAGUAAAAACGAAAUCAGUAGUACCAAACCUUUUAACUUGAAAGCUAGUGGCAAAAGGGAAACAAUCUUCAUCAAACGAGACACUCUUGGCUAUAUAAAUUUGACUUGAAGAACUAAAACAACAAUACCCUUUAUGCACCAAGUUGUAACCAAGGAAAAUGCACUUGGUAGUACGAAAGGCAAACUUGUGUUUAUUAUAAGGCCUUAGAUGAGGAAAGCAAGCACAAUCAAAAACCCUUAGAAGCUUUGAAUUUGGUUUUGUAUGAUAAAGAGACUCAAAAGGAGAAGUAUGAUUAAGAACUUGGGUGUGCAAUUUAUUUAUCAAAAAUACUAUAGUCACAACAGCAUCCCACUAGAAAUAGAGAUGCAUGUGUGCUUGUGCCAAGAGUGUUAAUCCAACCUCAACUAUGUGUCUAUGCUUUUGUUCUACUUUUCCAUUUUGUUGAUGAGUAUGAGGACAUGGAUGUCUGAAAACCACACCUUGUUAAGCUAGAAUAGGCAAAAGAGGCCUAUAUUCACCUCCCCAAUAAGUUUGAAGAUAUUUUAAUUUUCUAUUGAAUUGUCUUUCUACAAAGCUUUGAAAUUGCAGAAAAAUACCUUUUGUUUCAGAUUUUAACUUCAUUGGAAAUAUCCAUGUAUAGCGAGUAAAAUGUCCACAAAGUGAAUGUAAUAUCGAUAACCUUUUGUAGACAAAAUAGGUGAAGGUCCCCAAAUGCCAAAAUAUACUAUUUCUAAUAGAGUAGAAGUACUUUUAUUUAAUGAGUUCAAAAAAUUUGUUUGACAAGCUUUUCCAUACUAAUAAGAAGUACAAAAUCGAAGGUACUCAUUUCUUAGAGGUAGAUUUAAAUUCCUGAGUACUUUAUUUAACACUUGAGCAUGAGGAUGACUAAGCUUGCUAUGCCUAGUGUUCACAAUUUUGAUACAAACCUCAUUAGAUCUGACCUAUGCUAGAGAAACAAAAGGAAAACUAGAACCAGAAUGUGAGAUAGAUUUUGAACUUCGUGAGAGCAUUGGAACAUCAUAAAGCCCUCUUUUAAGCUUGCCCUACAUCAAAAUCUUCCUUGUCUUCUUGUCCUUAACAAAACAAUAAUCAUUAUAGAAUUCAACAACGACAUUGUUGUGCUUGGUGAAUUUAGAUAUGCUUAAUAAUGUAAUUACAGGCGCAUGUAAGAUAUCAUUAAGAUAUAAUGAUUGUGAUAAAAAAAUUUAUGAUAUAGUUGAAGAACCAAUAUGAAAAAUCUUUAAAGAAUUACCAUUUCCAACAACAAGUUUUUCCUUGCCUUUAUAGCUUGUCUUGAGAAUUAGCUUAUUGAGAUCAGCAGAAAUGUGAUUUGUGGCCUUUGUAACCACUUACUAGUUAGGGUCAUUGACAAUGGCUAGCAUGGCAAAGUAAGCUUGAGCAUUGUCUUGUAAAUGGGUGCCUUGAGAUGGAGCAAAAUUUUCAUAUUGUGGUUGUCCUUGUGGUCCUAUGAAGCUAAUGUCCAAACAAUAAUAACAUUUUAGUGAAAUAUUACCAUCUUUGCCACAUAAUUGACAGACAGACUUGUUUUGGCUUCCUCUUCCUCGACCACAACAAAAAGGACUAUUGUUAGGAGCCCUAGAAAAUUGAUAGUUGUUUCUUUUGUGACCUUGUUUGAUAACAAGAUUUGUAGAGGGACCAAUAUGGAUAUUUGAAACAAAGUUGAGUUUUUGAAGUCUCAUCUCAUAGUUUUGAAAGAGGAAUUAAGCUUCUCCAAGAGAAACAAAAUAUUUCCUCAACCAAAGAUUGACAAUUACAACAUCAAAUUCAUAACUUAAACCACCAAAAAUGUGCAUCAACAAUUGAUCAUCGAUGAUAGGUACACUAAUUGCAAACAGAGUAUCUACAAUUUCCUUCAUUUGAAGAAAAUAAUCAGCUAUGCUUAGGGAGCCUUUUGAAGCUUCUUAUGACUUAUUUAGAAGAUGUUGCACCUGAGAUUUGGGGUUGAUGAAGAACAAUUGAUCGAAAGCACUCCACACUUAAGCAACAAUUUUACAUCAAACAAUAUGGCCAAACAUCGAUUCCGAAAAAAGAAGAAAAAAUCCAACUCAGGAUGGAUUGGUCUAUUCUAUUCUAGAUUAAAAAUUUUGGGUUGAUUAUAGAAGAAUUGUCAUCUCUAUUUGAGAUGAAACAAGGACACACUAUUGUUCUAAGCAAAUAUCCUUCAAGAUCGAGAGCUCAAACAGUCAUAAGAACUUGUGAACACUAGAAUCCAUAGUUAUUUCUUGUGAGUUUCAAAGAUAGUUGAGGAAGGGUAGAUAAGAAUGUCAGUGAAGCGGCCACCGUCAAUGUUGCUCUACUUGUGCAAGAAAUGCUUGAUGAAGAGAGACUAGUUGCAAUUUAAGCCAUAGAUGCAAGUCUUUAUGGCUCUAAUACCAUGUUUGAUUGAUGAACUAAGGAAAAAAUUAUAGAGAGUUUUCUGUGUAUUAGUAAUAGUAGCUUAGUUCACAUCUUGUCUUCUUGAGUUGUAUACAUAUAUAUAGGUGUAACUAGAAAAUUCUGGAAUUAGUUAGCUCUACUAACUAAUUACAGAGUUAGAUAAAACUAAUUGAACUAAUUUACCACUUGUUUCAACUCCCUUUGGUAAUCUAACCUAUAGAUGUUUCUAGGCACAAGUUAAGUGUGUGAGGACUGAAUUCAUGGGACCCACAAUCCUUGGCUAAUUAGAAGUUCUUUUAAUAUUUUAUAAAUUUCGAGUUAAUUUCACCAAAUUUGAGUAGCCCUUAUUUUCAAACAAUUUCCAUACCCAAAAUAGAAGGCAAAAAUGAAACUAAGGUCACAUUUGAACAUGUUUUCUAAUACUUGUUUAUAAAAACGGUUUUUAAGUUAAAAAAAAAAAAUUCUUUUAGUGUUUUACAAAAAUAAAGGUAUUUGACAAGUUAUUUUUAAAAAACAAUUUUUAAAAAUAAAAAAUAAAAAACUUGUUUGAAUAAAUUGAUUUCAAAAUUAUUUUUUAUUUUGUAAAAAUAUUGUAAAUUUGAUUUAUAUAAUAUUAUUAAAUUUAAUUCAAGUCUUAUUAAAGAUAAAAAUAUUUUUUGUAAUUACAAAUAAACUAAAAUAAAUAAAUAGUUUUUAGUAAAACAUGAAUAGUAAUAUUAUAAUAAAAUCAUAAAUUAUAUUUUUUUUAAAUCAUAAAUUAUAUUUUUUUAUAAAAAAAAUGCUAUUUUAUUAUAUGUUAGAAACAUAAGGAUAUUAACAUCUUUUUAAUUUUUUGUUAAAAAUAAAUAAUAAUAAUAAAUUAUUUUAAAAUAAUAAUUGUCAAUAGUAUUUUAUUUAAAAUGAAUAAUGAAUAAAGUUUAAUUUUUUUUACAUGUAAAUAAGCCCAAGUUUUUAUUACAUAUACACAUUUAGUACUCGAUUAUGAACAUAAUAUUUUAUAAUGUUUUGAUUUAAUUUGUAAUCAAUUGGAUUGAUUUUUUAUUCUAAAUUAUUCUUAAAAAUUAAAAGAUUCAUUAAAAAAAUUUAAAUUAUUACUUAUAUCUUAAUUAUAAUUUAUUUACCUAGAGUCAUUAUAAACCAAUUUUUAUUUAUAAAUUUAUGGCAUUAAUGAGUUUAUUAUUUUAGUUUCAAAUUAUUUUUAAAAAAUACUAGACUUAUUACCGAAUCCAACACGUUAGGCCUUGUAUAAUUUGGAGUUUAUUUGCCUAGUGAAAAAAAUUUGGAAUACAAUGAUUCUAUGUAGAAAAGAAACAAUAGAGUUCUAAACUAAUUUUUGUCCAUAAAUUUCUAAUAUUAAUUAGAUCAUUGUUUGAAUUUUAAGUUAUUUUUAAAAAUUACUAAACUCAUUAAUGGAUCCAAUGCAUUAAGUCUUGCUUAACUUAGAUUUCAUUUGCCUAAUGAAAAAUAAAAUAAAAUAAUGAUUAUAUGUAGAAGAGAAAAUAGUUGUUUUAUACUAAUUUUUGUCCAUAAAUUUCUAGUAUUAAUUAAGUCACUAUUUGAGUUUUACACUAUUUGAGUUUAAGUUAUUUUUAGAAAUUACUAGACUCGUUAAUGAAUUUAACGCAUUAAGUCUUACUUAAUUUGGAGUUUAUUUGCCUAGUGGAAAAUUUUGUAUAUAUAUAUAACUAUCCAAGUCAUUUAAAAUAAGUUUUGGUUUAUGACUUUCUAACGUUAUUGAGUUACGUGACUUUUUAGUAUGAGUUAAAUUAGUUUUUUUAUUUUAAAAUUAUUUUUAAAAAUUAAUAAAAUUUAUAUAUCAAAUAUAAUUUGAUUUGGAAUUUAUUAUUUUAAUGAAAAAUUUUAGAGAAGCAAAAAGAAUAUAGAAAAAACAAGUGUAAUAAAAGGAAAAUCGUAUUUGAAGAUUUUCAGUAUCAAUAUUAGAUUGUGGAGAAAGAAAAAGAAUAACAUCAUAUUCAAUUUUAUUUAUUUUUAUGGUUUUUUUUUUAAUUUCUCUAUGUUUUUCUUUUGUUUUUAAAAAUUGACCCAUAGAGAGAGAAAAAGAAAGAUAUCAUAUUCAAUUUUGUUGUUUUUCUAAAUUGAAUUUUAUUUAUUCAAUUCAUAGUUCAAUUAUUUACAUUGUGACCAUUUGUGACACCCUGAACCUAAAGGUUGAAGGCACUACAGUAAUUUCAUAUAUCAAAUCGAAACAAAAACUAAAAUAAAAUAUUUAAACCAUAAAUUCAAUGAUUCUCCUAGACAAAUAAAAAUUCUAAAAAAUAAUAUUGAAUUCAGUGUUAAGUAAACCAUCCUAAAAAAAAAAAAAAAACAAAUCAAUUCUGAAGUAGUUUCUAAAUCUCUCCCCACCAAUGUCACUUGUACUUGAAAAAAGGAAUGAAGAAAAGUGAACUUGACAGUUCAAUAAAGAAAAAUAAUUCAAUAAGAAGGAUUAAGUAUAGUAUCCAAUUAAAUCUAGGGAGAUAUCAUUUUUAUUUUUAUUUUUUUACAAAAAUCAAUUUGCAAGUAAGUUUUUCCAAGUCAACAAUUAAAUUCAUUUUCUUUGAAAUAUUUAACAUUUUCAAUUCAAAGAUAAAAUAACAUAAUACACUUUGAAUAAUCAUAUCAUAUUCAAAAGAAUUUCACAAGCAAACAUUUUACUCUAAUCCAUAAUCAUAUUAUGGAACUUGCACUAAGUGGCUAACCUUAAAAUGUUCCUCUUACUGGUGGACGGAACAAUUUCCAAUCAAUGGUAUACCAAAGGCCAAUAAUACCCUUAUUGGCUAGGGUUGCAUUGCAUCAUUACCCCUUAAAAACCUAUGUUCCAAUAGGGUAACACCUAGAGGGGUGUGAUUAGGUGUUUGUUAAAGAAUAUAAUUUAUGGAUUGAAACUCUUAACCCAAAUAAUACACAAAGUGGGAAUUAAGCCUUAUUGAAACAAGUAAGUCUUGUAGGAUAUUAUGAAUAGGCAAUAGAACACAUCCACACAAGAAACAAACAAUUUUACGUAGAAAACCUUCACACCAACUAUGAAAAUAAAAAACCACGAAGUUUAGGAUAUCAAAUCUAAUAAUUCACUAUAUGAGAUCAAUAUACACAGGCUUACUUGGCCGUUUAUCCUAAAGACUAACUCUCCAGUACCUAUAUCAUGAUCCACAUCCACAAUGCUGCACUGUCCAUACUACAGUGGAUUUGCCUUAGCCUCUAAGGGGUGCAAGUCUUUCCAACCUCCAUGAGCUUUGAGAGUUUGAGGAAUGAUUGGAAAAAUUAGGUUUUCUCUCAUGGAAGUAUCCAACCCCUAAAACAAGCAUAGAAAGGGUAUAUAUAAGUCGAAGAGCCUAAAGGGUCAAAAACAAAAUUUUCUUUAAAAAAUAAAAUCUCAACUUUUCAAAAAUUAAUUAAAACAUCUUACCUCAAAUUUUUAAAAGGGAUUCAAUCCAUACCCCUUUCACAUAAUGAUUUGUCUUUUACAAACCUUUUUAGAGUUACCUAUGACAAUUCAAUUAAAUGAACAAUAACCUCGAAUUUUCAUUAGAGAGUAAGUCACUGUCUAAAAAGGUUCCUAUGCUAAAAUGAAAAUGAACAAAAUUGCCAACAAACAAAAUGGAAAUGUAAUGCCUUAACAACCCCCAUCAAGGUUAAUGAAAAUCAAUAGCUUAUUCCCUGUGUCCAAGGCCACUAAUAACAAGAGUUUCAAAAUCAUUAUAAUAAAUUAAAUAAUAAAAUUCACUUGUAAAACAAUAAAUAAAUCAUAUGAUAUUCCCAAUUUAUUUAAUGAACUAAGAAACAAAUCACAAUAUAUUUCAAAAAAAAAAUAUUACUUGAUCUACUUUAGAAAAUUCAAACAUUUUUUAUACUUCCAAAAACAUAUAAGAAAAUAAAUAAGGAAUUAUAAAAUGAUUUGCUGCCCUCGAAGAAGUCACUCAAAAUUUCAAUAUUUUGGGAUGAGAAGGUUAAUGUUGUUUGAGUUGAUUAUUAGUUGAAUUUUAGGGUUGUUCUGUGAUACCUAUAGUAGGAAGCUUUAAGGUGUUAAAGGUCCCCUAAAGAAAGGAAGAUGAACAUUUUGAGAAUUUCAAUAAAUGUAAAAAAGAAAAUACUAGUUAAAAACAUAGGAGGAAAAGUUACAAAAGUGGUUCAUAGUGUUGGUACACAAACAUAAGAUAAAAGAGAAGUAGGUGUGCAAUUGUGGAUGCACAGAGUGUUUUAACCAUAGAGAUGCAUGGUUGUGGGGCAUUUGUUAAAUUAAAGGAGAAGAGGUACAUAAUUUAUAAUGUGCUUGGAUGGGUGCACAAAGUGUUUUAGCCAUAGUGAUGUGUGGUUGUUGUGCCUUGGUUAAAUCAAAGGAGAAUGUGUGCUCAAUUUGUAGUGUGCUUGGAUGAAGAGCAUGGAUUGGGAAGUAUAUAAUUUGAGUGGUAACUAGUGGUGCUCAAGUUUAAAAAUUUUUAAUCAUUCUAUAUAUUUGUAUAGUUAUUUUUUAAAACAAUCCUCAUAAAACAACUAAAACAUGUUAUAUCAUGCUUUUUUUUUUUUAAGAACUAAAAACAUAAAAUAAUUUUCUGGUUGUCAAAUGUUUUUUUUUUUUUUUUUAAAGAAUAGAAAACUAUUCUUAAAAAUAACUGUCAAACAAGACCUCAUAUUUUGAUCUUAUUUAUUUAUAUAUUUAUCCAUACCUUUUGGGUAAGUAAGAAGAAGCAUCCUCAUCCAAUGCUCUCACAUGGACGCCUCUAGGUUCCUAUAGUUUGAAAUUGAAUUUCAUUUGCUUGCCUUGCACUCUUAUAUUUUGAUCUUAUUUAUUUGCAUAUUUAUUUGAUGGUCUAAAUUCAUCACACGUCUAAUAAAGCAUGUGAAGGAUUUGGUAAACACCGAUAUCAACACUUAAUAAAUUAAGAGUUCAUUUGACAAUAAUUCUAAAAGUGUUUUUAGCCUAAAAAAAAUAUUACAUAAGGUGUUUGACAAAAUUUAGGAAACACUUUAAAAAUUUUGAUAAAUCACUUAUAAUGUUAAAAAAUUACUUUUAAUAUGUUUUGGAGAAACAUUUGGUACGUGAUUCUUCUAACAACAUUUUUUAAGAAAACACUUCUACUAAAAACAAUCUUUAGCGCACCUAAGAUUGAAAUUACCACACGGGCUUCUUCUUCAAUCUUGAGCAAAUCUCUUCAAACCCUUAGCUCUAAUUGCUCUAUAGAAGGACCAAAAUAUUUUUUUUUUAUUUUUUUUACAAAGGAUUGUAGUUUGCACACAUGCAAAUAUAUAAUAAUAGAAAAAUAAUUCAUAAAUCAUUUUCGUUACAUGAUAAAAGAUUAUUUGUUACUUGAAGAUGUCCUCGAUGACAUGAAUGAGCGUUUCAAUAAUGCCGGCUAGAAAUCAUCCAAAGUUUUCCAAUAAGUUAGGAAGAAGCGGCUAAGUUAAACUUCGAGUGCGUGCUGGUUGAUCAAGACGGGUUGUUAAGAUCUAUGCAAGUUGGUGACUUCUCAGCUCUAGCUUCCGUCUCUAUCUGACUAGCAUGAGAUACUGCCAUACUGGUAAGAAAUUUUGUAUAUCACGAGAUCCAUUGACUCAGUCUUCCCUCCCAAGUCUCAGAUGGAUCUCAUCAACAUAAGGCGGCUAACACCCAUAGGAAGUUUCCCAUACCAAAAUCAGCUCUCAUCCUGAAACAGAAAGAAGUAAGCAGGAAUGAUGGUGCGACUUAUGCUAGUAGGUUUGCUGCUAUUGGCUUCAGCUGCAGCUGCUGCUGCAACAGUUGGUCAAGCCAAGGAAGGUUGCCUAGACAAAUGUGGAGAUGUUAGCAUCCCAUAUCCGUUUGGUACUAAUGAAGAGCAGUGUUACCUCAGCCCUUAUUUCCUAGUUACUUGUAACCAUUCCUCCAACCCUCCCAAACUGCUAUUAGGCAAACCAUCUCCAGAGGGAAACAAUGUCCAAGUGCUGGAUAUUUCGCUGGAGGGUGAGUUGCUCAUCUUGAACUACGUAAGCCAUGAUUGUUACAAUAGGUCCGGUGGGCUUGACUCCCUCUAUUCUUACGGUUCCCAUCUGACGCCGGGCCAAUUCAACAUCUCGAGUACCAGAAACAAGUUCACUAUGGUUGGUUGCGACACUUAUGCCUGGUUUAGAGGUCAAAGAGGUGAGGAAAGCUACAGAACUGGGUGCAUGUCAUUAUGUGACAACAUCACAGCUGUACGAAAUGGAUCUUGCUCUGGAAAUGGUUGUUGCCAGACCUCCAUCCCUGAUGAAUUAUCAGAUAUACGUUUGACAUUGGGCACCUUCAAUAAUUAUUCUGAAAUCUGGGAAUUCAAUCCCUGCGGCUAUGCCUUUAUUGUGGAAGAAUCUCACUUCACUUUCUCCUCCGACGAUCUAAAAGAUUUGAAGGGCAUAGAGAAGCUUCCUAUGGUAUUUGAUUGGGCAUUUGGCAAGGAAACAUGUCAAGUAGAAGAUGAAAACAGCCAGACCAAUUACGCAUGCAAGGGGAACAGCAGCUGCAAUAAGAGGAAAACGGGUUGGGGCUAUCUUUGCAACUGCUCAGAGGGUUACCAAGGGAACCCAUACCUGGAGUCUGGUUGCCAAGGUACUUGAAUUUAUAUUUCGAGUUGUCCAAUGUAUCUUCACACUAGGCUUCAUUCUUUUCCUUUUUGAUUUCACAGAUAUAAAUGAAUGUGAGAAUUCCAUCCUCAACAAGUGUGAAAAUCCAGAAACAUGCGUCAAUACCCAAGGAAAUUAUACUUGUUCUUGCCCCAUGUGGUACCAGGGAGAUGGCAAAAUCGAUGGUCAACGCUGUAUUCCCAAUCGCUUGCAAAUGAUUCACGCUGCCAUGGGUCAGUGCACUUACUAUUUACUAAUAAUUCUAUCUCAGCCCAUAUGAUAGCAAGACUUUUUGUGAUUGAGUAAUUUCAAUCAUAAAAGACUACAGUAAAAAACAUUAGAAUAAUUGUCUCUUAUGAUCAUUAUGUAAAGAUGACUGGGUUAUGAAAAUGAUAAUUGACUUUCAAUUUAUUUUUAUUAAUUUAGGCAUUGGAAUUGCCUUGCUCGUAUUAUUGGUGAGCAGCACUUGGCUGUUUUGGGCUUUGAAGAAAAGAAGGUUCAUCAAACUCAAAAAGAAAUAUUUUCAACAAAAUGGUGGUUCAGAGCUACGACAACUCUCCAGGCAAGGAUCUACCGCAAGAAUUAAAAUUUUUACCUUUGAAGAGCUUGAGAAAGCCACCAAAAAAUAUGAUGAGAGCAAUAUCAUCGGCCGAGGAGGUUUUGGCACAGUUUAUAAAGGAACUUUAACCGAUGGUAGGAUUGUUGCAAUUAAGAAGUCCAAGAUGGUGGAACAAAGCCAAGGUAAAGACUUCAUAAAUGAGGUGGGUAUUCUAUCUCAAAUAAACCAUCGUCAUGUGAUACAACUCUUGGGUUGCUGUUUGGAAACACAAGUGCCUUUACUAGUCUAUGAGUUCAUCAACAAUGGCACCCUCUCCGACCACAUACAUAAUGAAAAUAAGGCAUCUGCUAUCAUGUGGGAAACUCGUUUAAGGAUUGCCAUCCAAACCGCAGAAGC